ACUACGGGUGGCAGCAGUGGGGGAUAUUGCACAAUGGGGGAAACCCUGAUGCAGCGACGCCGCGUGUGGGAAGACGGUCCUCUGGAUUGUAAACCACUGUCCCCAGGGACGAAGAUGACGGUACCUGGGGAGGAAGCUCCGGCUAACUACGUGCCAGCAGCCGCGGUAAUACGUAGGGAGCGAGCGUUGUCCGGAAUUACUGGGUGUAAAGGGAGCGUAGGCGGGACUGCAAGUUGGGUGUCAAAUCUACCGGCUCAACCGGUAGCCGCACUCAAAACUGCAGGUCUUGAGUGAAGUAGAGGCAGGCGGAAUUCCUAGUGUAGCGGUGAAAUGCGUAGAUAUUAGGAGGAACACCAGUGGCGAAGGCGGCCUGCUGGGCUUUUACUGACGCUGAGGCUCGAAAGUGUGGGGAGCAAACAGGAUUAGAUACCCCAGUAGUC
rnacentral:rRNA from 1 species